rnacentral:tRNA from 1 species
UGUUCUGUAGCUUAGUUGGUUAAAGCGCCCGGUCUAGCGUACACGGAGUCGUGAGUUCGAGUCUCACUAGAACGC